rnacentral:lncRNA from 1 species
GUCUGGUGCAACGUACGAUUUUCCAUUCACUUUGCGGCAAAUAACACAUUUGCUGAGUAAUUUCUGUGCAUACUCUCGAAUAGUUGGUAUCCAAAACGUUUGUCUUAUAUAGCUGACUGUAGCAUGCAUUCUACUAUAAAGUAAUUGUUCGUGUGAGUCCAACACAAUGAGCAUAGUUAACGGAUUUGCUGGUAUAAGUUACGGAAAAUUUACUGAUUCUGGAAGUGAUGCGUUGUGUAUUCUCUCGUUACAUCUGAUGAGACCGGAUUCGUCUUAGAAAAGUCCUGAUUGUCGGACUCUCGUUACUUUAUUUGUGUUUUCUGCGUUGUGUCAUGUGUACUAUUGUUUGUCUGUAUGUAUUUUUUUCAUUUUUAGCCAUGGCGUUGUCAGUUUAUUUUCGAUUUAUGAGUUUGACUGUUCCUUUGGUAUCUUUCGUCCUCUUUUACAGUGUACAAAUUUAAGUCAACGUCCCUUCAUUACAUAGGCUAAAAUUUAAUUACCUAACCUGAAUAACCUUCUAUAUUGUUAGUUUCUUUUCUACUGAAUAAACGAUUAC